rnacentral:rRNA from 1 species
UACGGGGGGGGGCAAGCGUUGUUCGGAAUUACUGGGCGUAAAGGGCUCGUAGGCGGCCAACUAAGUCAGACGUGAAAUCCCUCAGCUUAACUGGGGAACUGCGUCUGAUACUGGAUGGCUUGAGUUCGGGAGAGGGAUGCGGAAUUCCGAGGUGUAGCGGUGAAAUGCGUAGAUAUCUGGAGGAACACCGGUGGCGAAGGCGGCAUCCUGGACCGACACUGACGCUGAGGAGCGAAAGCCAGGGGAGCAAAGCGGG